rnacentral:rRNA from 1 species
GCGUGACGGCGCGAGCAGGUGCGAAAGCAGGUCAUAGUGAUCCGGUGGUUCUGAAUGGAAGGGCCAUCGCUCAACGGAUAAAAGGUACUCCGGGGAUAACAGGCUGAUACCGCCCAAGAGUUCAUAUCGACGGCGGUGUUUGGCACCUCGAUGUCGGCUCAUCACAUCCUGGGGCUGAAGUAGGUCCCAAGGGUAUGGCUGUUCGCCAUUUAAAGUGGUACGCGAGCUGGGUUUAGAACGUCGUGAGACAGUUCGGUCCCUAUCUGCCGUGGGCGCUGGAGAACUGAGGGGGGCUGCUCCUAGUACGAGAGGACCGGAGUGGACGCAUCACUGGUGUUCGGGUUGUCAUGCCAAUGGCACUGCCCGGUAGCUAAAUGCGGAAGAGAUAAGUGCUGAAAGCAUCUAAGCACGAAACUUGCC